rnacentral:rRNA from 1 species
GAUGAACGCUGGCGGCGUGCCUAAUACAUGCAAGUCGAGCGAACAGAUGAGGAGCUUGCUCCUCUGACGUUAGCGGCGGACGGGUGAGUAACACGUGGAUAACCUACCUAUAAGACUGGGAUAACUUCGGGAAACCGGAGCUGAUACCGGAUAAUAUAUUGAACCGCAUGGUUCCAUAGUGAAAGACGGUUUUGCUGUCACUUAUAGAUGGAUCCGCGCCGCAUUAGCUAGUUGGUAAGGUAACGGCUUACCAAGGCAACGAUGCGUAGCCGACCUGAGAGGGUGAUCGGCCACACUGGAACUGAGACACGGUCCAGACUCCUACGGGAGGCAGCAGUAGGGAAUCUUCCGCAAAGGGCGAAAGCCUGACGGAGCAACGCCGCGUGAGUGAUGAAGGUCUUCGGAUCGUAAAACUCUGUUAUUAGGGAAGAACAAAUGUGUAAGUAACUAUGCACGUCUUGACGGUACCUAAUCAGAAAGCCACGGCUAACUACGUG